UAAGGGCGCACGGUGGAUGCCUUGGCACUAGAAGCCGAUGAAGGACGUUACUAACGACGAUAUGCUUUGGGGAGCUGUAAGUAAGCUUUGAUCCAGAGAUUUCCGAAUGGGGAAACCCAGCAUGAGUUAUGUCAUGUUAUCGAUAUGUGAAUACAUAGCAUAUCAGAAGGCACACCCGGAGAACUGAAACAUCUUAGUACCCGGAGGAAGAGAAAGAAAAUUCGAUUCCCUUAGUAGCGGCGAGCGAAACGGGAAGAGCCCAAACCAACAAGCUUGCUUGUUGGGGUUGUAGGACACUCUAUACGGAGUUACAAAGGACGACAUUAGACGAAUCAUCUGGAAAGAUGAAUCAAAGAAGGUAAUAAUCCUGUAGUCGAAAAUGUUGUCUCUCUUGAGUGGAUCCUGAGUACGACGGAGCACGUGAAAUUCCGUUGGAAUCUGGGAGGACCAUCUCCUAAGGCUAAAUACUCUCUAGUGACCGAUAGUGAACCAGUACCGUGAGGGAAAGGUGAAAAGCACCCCGGAAGGGGAGUGAAAUAGAACCUGAAACCGUGUGCUUACAAGUAGUCAGAGCCCGUUAAUGGGUGAUGGCGUGCCUUUUGUAGAAUGAACCGGCGAGUUACGAUUUGAUGCAAGGUUAAGCAGUAAAUGUGGAGCCGUAGCGAAAGCGAGUCUGAAUAGGGCGUUUAGUAUUUGGUCGUAGACCCGAAACCAGGUGAUCUACCCUUGGUCAGGUUGAAGUUCAGGUAACACUGAAUGGAGGACCGAACCGACUUACGUUGAAAAGUGAGCGGAUGAACUGAGGGUAGCGGAGAAAUUCCAAUCGAACCUGGAGAUAGCUGGUUCUCUCCGAAAUAGCUUUAGGGCUAGCCUCAAGUGAUGAUUAUUGGAGGUAGAGCACUGUUUGGACGAGGGGCCCCUCUCGGGUUACCGAAUUCAGACAAACUCCGAAUGCCAAUUAAUUUAACUUGGGAGUCAGAACAUGGGUGAUAAGGUCCGUGUUCGAAAGGGAAACAGCCCAGACCACCAGCUAAGGUCCCAAAAUAUAUGUUAAGUGGAAAAGGAUGUGGCGUUGCCCAGACAACUAGGAUGUUGGCUUAGAAGCAGCCAUCAUUUAAAGAGUGCGUAAUAGCUCACUAGUCGAGU
rnacentral:rRNA from 1 species